rnacentral:rRNA from 1 species
UACGCAGGGUGCGAGCGUUGUCCGGAAUUAUUGGGCGUAAAGGGCGCGUAGGCGGGCGAUCAAGUCGGUGGUGAAAUCCUACAGCUUAACUGUAGAACUGCCUCCGAUACUGGUUGUCUCGAGGACGGCAGGGGUGAGCGGAACUCCAGGUGGAGCGGUGAAAUGCGUAGAUAUCUGGAGGAACACCGGUGGCGAAAGCGGCUCACUGGACCAUAUCUGACGCUGAGGUGCGAAAGCUAGGGUAGCAAACGGG